AGUACCACCACCACCACCACCACCAGCUGGGCAGCAUGUUGAGCCGCAUGGACAAUCUGCUUAACCAUCUGGGGAACGGCAGGUGGUCUGUUCUGCACGUGAUCACUAUGAGCUUUAACUCCAUUUACUUACCAGGGUACAUGUUUGCCGGGGCCUUCCUUGCGCCUCGUCUUGACUUCUCGUGUCUUCCAACCAGCGCCACUCCAGUACCUCCUAACGCCUCUCUCUAUAACUCCUCCUCGUCCUCCUCUUCAUCCGUCACCGCCGCCGCUGCUGUUAACCUCUCCUACGUAGACAAGUGCCACUACAGGAUUGACACACCAGAGGGCGAAAUAAUUGAGAAAUGUGUCGAGUUUUCCUUCGAUUACUCCAUUUUUCCUCCACCAUCACAUCAGAGUUCAACCUGGCGUGUGACAGAGCUUACUUGCAAACUUUCUACCAGAGUCUGUACAUGAUUGGCAAUUUCUUCGGCUCUCCUUUCAGCGGGUUCAUGUCUGAUACCUACGGGAGGAAGAAAACGGUGACUCUUGGCUACGUGCUCUUCCUGCUCCUGGGCCUCGUGUGUGCGUGGUUGCCUUUCCUCUCCUUCAUUCUCGUGGCUCGGUUCUUGAUGGGCCUCAUUCAUCCUAUCAACUCCUAUACGUCCUUUGUGCUUGCGCAAGAAGUUUUAACACCCAAAGUCAGGAACUGGUUUGCUUUCGACUUGUACACAGUGUGGGCUGCAGGCACGAUGUUGUACGCCUUACUGGGUUACUUCAUAAGGGACUGGCGACUGCUACAAACUGCCUUCACCUUGCCUGGCCUCCUCGUGCUGCCUGUCAUGUGGUGGGUGGACGAGUCCCCGCGGUGGCUGAUCGUGAACGGGCGGUGGCGUGAAGCCCUGCAGGUGCUGACCAAGGUGUCCCGCUGGCAAGGCGUGGACCUUCCCCCGGAGGCUGAGAUGAAGGCAAUUCUGGAGGAGCAGGCCGGGGAGGUGACGGAUGGGGGGCGGCAUUCCUCGCUGGGGAAGAUUCUGAGGUCCCUUGUGGCGGAGAUCGUAGUGCUGUUCAGAACGCCACAGUUGAGAACCAUUACUCUUUGUGUGUUCCUCGACUUCCUCACGGUCGGAAUGAUGUACUUCGGCAUGUCCCUCAGCGGAGCAAACAUCAGUGACGACCCUUACCUGUACAUCACCCUCUGCGGUUUCAUGGAUGUACCGGCCUAUGUUUUCUCCGGCCGUAUCAUGAACCGCUUCGGCAGGAGGAUCACUCUCUCUGUCUGCUACUUCAUUGCCGCUGUGGUUCUGUUCGCUCUCUCUGUCACGCCCAGUGCACACAGCACCGUCGUAGUGUUGCUGGCUGUGGUGGGGAGGAUGACAAGCGCCGCAGGGUUCCAGGUGGUUUUUUUCUAUUCCAACGAGCUCUUCCCGACGGAGGUGCGCAGCCGGGGUGUGGGCGCCUCCUUCAUGAUGGCCUGCGCGGGGGGGAUCGUGUCACCCUUCAUCACAGACCUGGUGAGCGCCGUGUACCCGUGGGCGCCCUUCGUGGUGUUCGGGGUGGGCGCUUCGCUGGCCGGAGUGGGGACGCAACUGCUGCCGGAGACUCAAGGCCAGACCCUCCCUGACACCGUGCAGGAGCUGGAGGAGAGAUCGAGGAAACGGCGCGAGGGAGGUGGCGUCGCUGCAGCCGUCACUACACUGCCACAAGGCUUACAUUCACACCACAGCAGCAGCCUCAGUCUUGUAGUGUGAGAGGAGGCGCCAAGGCAGUGACUGAGUGAAGUCCUAUUCUCACACACUUCUACGCCUUACCUCCACUAUUUCAAAAGGUUCUUUGUUCCUCGCACCACACACAUUUGGAGGCGCAUUUUUAGCUCCACGUCUCGACUUCGCCUGCCUUCCUUCGUAUAACUCAUCCCUGCCCAACUCGGCCUUCUCCAACUCGGCUCCUACCAACUCGGC
rnacentral:misc_RNA from 1 species